UUCCUUACGCAUGGAACUAACACUUCUUGCAAAUGACCAAUAAGUGGAUGCAGAGUUAAUGCUAGUUAUACACUAUUUCCUAAUAGCAACCAACAAGUUUAAAUACUAGUAGGUUUGCAAUUUUUAAUCUAUCCUAUUUGGAU
rnacentral:snRNA from 1 species